GGAUUGCGGCUCAGCGGUAGAGCACUCGCCUAGCAUGUGCGAGGCCCCGGGUUGGAUCCUCAGCACCA
rnacentral:tRNA from 1 species